UACGUAGGUGGCAAGCGUUUGUUCGGAAUUACUGGGCGUAAAGCGCGUGUAGGCGGCCUCGUAAGUCAGAUGUGAAAGCCCCGGGCUUAACCCGGGAAGUGCAUCUGAUACUGCUUGGCUUGAGUGCUGGAGAGGGUGGUGGAAUUCCUGGUGUAGAGGUGAAAUUCGUAGAUAUCAGGAGGACACCGGUGGCGAAGGCGACCACCUGGACAGACACUGACGCUGAGGCGCGAAAGCGUGGGGAGCAAACAGGAUUAAAACCCCGGUA
rnacentral:rRNA from 1 species